rnacentral:rRNA from 1 species
CCCGCUGAACUUAAGCAUAUCAAUAAGCGGAGGAAAAGAAACUAACAAGGAUUCCCCUAGUAACGGCGAGUGAAGCGGGAAGAGCUCAAAUUUGAAAUCUGGUCGUCUUUGGCGGCCCGAGUGUAGUUUUAGAGAAGCGUUUUCUGUGCCGGACCACGUACAAGUCCCUUGGAAUCGGGCGUCGUGGAGGGUGAGAACCCCGUCUCUGACGUGGACACCCGGUGCUCUGUGAUGCGCUCUCGAAGAGUCGAGUUGUUUGGGAAUGCAGCUCAAAACGGGUGGUAAAUUCCAUCUAAAGCUAAAUAUUGGCGAGAGACCGAUAGCGAACAAGUACCGUGAGGGAAAGAUGAAAAGCACUUUGGAAAGAGAGUCAAACAGUACGUGAAAUUGUUGAAAGGGAAACGCUUGAAGUCAGUCGCGUCUUGUCGGACUCAGCCUGGCUUUGGCCACGGUGUAUUUCCGGCCUGACGGGCCAGCAUCGAUUUUGACCGUCGAAGAAGGGCUGGGGAAAUGUGGCACCUUCGGGUGUGUUAUAGUCCCCUGUCGUACACGGUGGUUGGGAUCGAGGAACUCAGCGCGCCUUUUGGCCGGGGCUCGCCCACGUAACGCGCUCAGGAUGCUGGCGUAAUGGCUUUAAACGACCCGUCUUGAAACACGG